AAUAUAAUGCUUCAUCGCGAUUUUAAUCCCGACAUAUCGUCACCCCGCCAGCUAAUCGACCUCGUUCUUAAUUUGACAUUAAUCUCUGAACCGGUACUGUUUAUAAUAAUUAAUAUUCGGGAGUCCAAUUGUCGCUCGCGGCGUACCUUCUCUUUGAGCGAUCGUAAUGUUUCGGCCGUUCCUGACGCUCCGUGGAUAAUCUUUUUACUGGUUACGAUUUCUCUGGUAUAAAGUAAAUAACGUCUCGUCAGGAGAAACGUAUCAUAUACGUUCGCGAUACAUUGGACAUCGCAAGUCGCAAGUAAUCAAAAAUUAAAUAAUAGCUAGAUUUGAAAUUAAAGAUCUCGCAGCCACUUCAGCACAAUCAAAUGGGACUUGCAGAAAUUACCUCCUUUUUAAUAAUUAAUCAAUCGCGCAAACGACGCAAAUCUCGAUUUUUUUGCUCCAGUUUUUUUUUUGCAAAAAAAACAAUGGCUGUGUUGGUUCAAAAUCAAAGUUUGCACAACCAUAAAAUCAGGAAUACAUCAAAUAAUUCGCACAUAAGUCGCACUUCGAAAAUACAUUUUUUUUUUAAUUUCCUGCUUUUUUAUUGCAGCUGAAGUAGCGACGAUACAAUCGCCACAAUAUAAAUAAAAUAUGUUUAUAUGUAAUUAUAAUAAAACUGUGUAUUUAUUUAUUAGAAAUAAA